rnacentral:lncRNA from 1 species
AGUCCAUCCAUGUGUGCCACAGAUAUAAGCACAGGAGUAGAUUUUGGCAUGAGGAGGGGUUUUCUAUUUCAAUCCGCAUUUGAAUUGGUCCCACUGGCUUUGUUGGAUCUGCAUCGUUCUCAUUAGAGUCACCUCACAGUUUACAGCAUGUCUGCACAUCCAGGGGGCAUCUCAGUACUGGUCUCCUUCCCUCACUCUUCCCAGAAGCAAUGGACCAAACACAGCAGGCUGGCGAUGUAAACUUUCAUGCUUCUUCAUGGCUGAGAAAGAGUUGUGGGUUUUUUUGUUUAUUUUUUUCCGGGUCAAAGAAAUCCUAAGAAAUCCUGAGGAGGAGUCUCUACUUCCACUGCUGCAUUGCAGAGCUUUUGAUUGGACUCAUGACCACAGCUUUAUGGCAAGGAAUUCCCCUGCCAGGCACUGGUCACGAAUGGACGCUGAUGAAUGCCACAGGCCACAUCCCGUGCCAGCAGGAGCAUGCUGAGAUUUGUGCUCUGUACUUCUGGCAACUGCUCUUAAUGGGAGAGAAGUGUCCUGAUCUCUCGGAUGUCACCACGUCACAACAGGCAACAAAGUCUUCCUUAGAUGGACUUCUGUAUAAGACAUACUUGCUUCUUUUAAUAUCCCAAAUGUAA